UUGAAAUGAUGUAUAUAUGCAAAUAUCACAAUGGUUCUAAUAAAAUAACUAGAUUAAUGUGCUUUAGUGUUACUCUGGGGUGCUGGGCCUUGCUAUGACAAGAAGAAGACAAAUAUCAGGUGCUAGUUUCAACUUGAAAUUAAAAAAAAAAAAAAUCAUGAAUACCUUGGCCCUUAGGAGACAGUAGAUGAGGACUCACUGUUGUUCCUGAUUUUGGCAAUGAUUUCUGGCCUGAAGCUUCAAGUCUGACACACAAGCCCAGAGAAAGUUUUCUAUAGCUGCUGUAGGCCCAGUGAAAAACAGGUGACCACAUGAAUUUAUUUCUAACAAAAAUUGACAGGGGUCUCCAUUCUCCCCAUUUCCAAUCCAAUCCUGUGGGCUCGCUCUGCUCUCCCCUUAGCAACCCCCACUAAUGCUUUGUUUCUACGUAUGGAUGUUUACUGACAUCCGUGGCUGUGUGUCUUGUGUGUGCCAGGUACCCUAGGAGGCCAGAAGAGUGCAUUGGAUCCCCUGGGACUGGAGCUACAGAUGACUGUGAGCUCUGGUAUUGGUGCUGGGAAUCAAACGCAUGUCUUCUAGAAAAGCAGCUGGUACUUUUAAUUGAGCCAUCUCUUGAUUACGAGGCUGUUGUUUUUAAAGCUGCUUCUGUUAUCGAGCUAUUAAAAAUGUUGUUAGAAGCCUUGCUAUGUAAAACAAACAUAGGAUCCCUGAGUACAAGGUGAAAGCUGGUAAGGCAUUUAAUUGCUUUGAAAGAUGCCACCGUAAUUCUAAAUUCCAAACACUGUUAAUCAUAGAAUCACCUUUUAAAAAGACUUUUUAGCAUUCCACUCCUAUUUUUAGGUAAACUGUGUAUUCUAUUUUACUGGCUGGUUUUGUGUGUCAACUUGACACAGCUGGAGUUAUCACAGAGAAAGCUUCAGUUGAGGAAAUGCCUCAAUGAGAUCCAACUGUAAGGCAUUUUCUCAAUUAGUGAUCAAGGGGGAAAGGCCCCUUGUGGGUGGUGCCAUCUCUGGGCUGGUAGUCUUGGUUCUAUAAGAGAGCAGGCUGAGCAAGCCAGGGGAAGCAAGCCAAUAAAGAACAUCCCUUAAUGGCCUCUGCAUCAGCUCCUUCUUCCUGACCUGUUUGAGUUCCAGUCCUGACUUCCUUGAUGAUAAACAACAGUAUGGAAGUGUAAGCUGAAUAAACCCUUCCCUCCCCAACUUGCUUCUUGGUCAUGAUGUUUGUGCAGGAAUAGAAACCCUGACUAAGACAAAUUGGUACCAGCAGAGUGGGGUAUUCCUGUGACAACCUGACAAUGUUUUGGGGAGGACUGUGGAAGGACUUUGGAACUUCGGACUUGAAGAUCCAUUCGUUGUUAAGAGCUCUGUGGGAUGUUGUGUAGGAGCUUGGAAGAUAAUGUUGAGAACAGUGCAGAAGAUGGAGGUCUGGCUUGUGAAAUUUCAGAGGGAAGAUUAAAGACUCCUUUCAGGGCCAUUGCUGUUUUGAUUGUGAAGAUUCUGUAGUCAGUGAGUGUGCUUUCUCCACAGUGCCUGAGGCAGCCAGAGUGGGAAAGGUUUACUAUAUCUUAUGGUGUGGGACGAUUCAGUCCAUGGCUAACCUUGUUGCUUUGGGCCUCUGGUUGCACAAGGGUCUGUGGUGGACCGGCACACAUGCUAGAAAGGAGCAAAGGAGCAAGGUGGGCCUCAGAGUCCCCUCCAUGUACAUAUCUCUAAUGCCACCUUCCUCCAACAGUCCCCACCUUUCGUUUGUUUGUUGUUUUGUUGCUGGUUUUUUCAAGGACAGGGUUUCUCUGUGCAGCCCUGACUGUUCUGGAACUCGCUCUGUCAUCUGGCUGGUCUCGAACUCACAGACUUCUCUCUGCCUCCCGUGUGCUAGGGUUAAAGAUGUGCCACCUUACUGCCCAGCAAGUCCUCACCUCUUACAAAUUCCAUUCUCUCCAAAUUUUGCUCAGGCUGAAGCACAUGUCCUUUAGGGGACAUUUUCAGAUCCAAACUAUAGCAGUCAAGGUAGAAAAUUUUACAUGUAAUAUAAAACUAGGUCUGAUCACAGAUUUCAUACCACCAAAGCUAAAUAAUAAAACCACACUAAAAGGCAGAUUUCCAAAUCCUGAAAAAUAAUAACGAUAUGCUCAUAUUAAUACCAGAUGAGUGUCCAUUAAUCUUAUAAAAUCUGGCUGCUGCUUGCCUUUUAGCUAAGAUCACAUGCAGUAAAACAUUUUAUGAAGCCUUAAUGAGGGGACCAACGGAUGUUACAACUUGUUCAAGGGAGAAGGCAAAUGACAGGCACACCACGUACUAGGAUAGACCUGUAAACAGAGCAAGACUGGGUUCCUCUGCGGGGGGUAAGAGAUGAGCAGAGCUUUGCUUUGCAUUCAGCUAUCUACCAGGCAGUCUUGUUCCGCAAGUCUCCUCAGAACUGCAGGACCCCAAAGCUAUGAUGUACUCGACUGAACGAUGCCGAGUUCGCUGAGGCAGUUCUCCCCACACCCUGUGCUAAAAGCUUAAGGAAAUAUGUGUGCUGUAAGUAAAUAAAUCUGGGCCUGGUCUUGCAGCUACUCAGGGUGUAGAUACGGGUUCAAAGCCUGCCAAUGAGAUGGUAAACCAGACAUCCCAAGACAUCGUGGAAGGAGAGAACUGACUCCUGCAAGAUGUCCUCUGACCUCCACACAUGCAGGCAGCCAGACACAAUAAGUGUAUUUCAAGAUAGACUUUAAGAUGAGGGCUAUGGCACUUUUCUUACAGGCUUGAGGCUGGAGAUUCAAUUCCCAGAACUGGGAAAAAAAAAAAAAAAAAGAAUAGUUUAAGGUUCCCUUUCAGCCUGUUAUCAUACUCCUCUGUCACUUAGCAUCUACAAAAUUCCAGACUAGAAGAUCACCUGACAAGACGACAGAGCAAACCCAAUGUACAAACAACGUAGAAGGUGCUGAGAGGCGGCUGCUCUUCCAGAGGACCCACCUUCAAGUCCUAGUACCCACGUGACCACUAACUAACAUCUGUAACUCCAGUUCCAAGGAAUAUGAUGCCCUCUUCCAGUCUCCCUGGGCAAUGAGCACACAUGUGGUUCAGAUAUAGUUGCAAGCAAUAUACCC
rnacentral:lncRNA from 1 species